rnacentral:rRNA from 1 species
UGGGGAAUAUUGGACAAUGGGCGAAAGCCUGAUCCAGCCAUGCCGCGUGUGUGAAGAAGGUCUUCGGAUUGUAAAGCACUUUAAGUUGGGAGGAAGGGCCAUUACCUAAUACGUGAUGGUUUUGACGUUACCGACAGAAUAAGCACCGGCUAACUCUGUGCCAGCAGCCGCGGUAAUACAGAGGGUGCAAGCGUUAAUCGGAAUUACUGGGCGUAAAGCGCGCGUAGGUGGUUUGUUAAGUUGGAUGUGAAAUCCCCGGGCUCAACCUGGGAACUGCAUUCAAAACUGACUGACUAGAGUAUGGUAGAGGGUGGUGGAAUUUCCUGUGUAGCGGUGAAAUGCGUAGAUAUAGGAAGGAACACCAGUGGCGAAGGCGACCACCUGGACUGAUACUGACACUGAGGUGCGAAAGCGUGGGGAGCAAACAGGAUUAGAUACCCCCGUAGUCCCUGAGCGGGCUGGCAAGGCGCAU